GCCGAUGGACCGGUGGACUGGUGG
rnacentral:siRNA from 1 species